GAAACGCGAUAGGUAAUGUGAAUUGCAGAAUUCAGUGAAUCAUCGAAUCUUUGAACGCAUCUUGCGCUCCUUGGUAUUCCUCGGAGCAUGCCUGUUUGAGUGUCGUGAAUAUCUCCAUUAAAAGGUUUUUUUUAUGAAAAAUUCUUUUAACGGGUCCUUGGGCUUGGUGAUGAGAUUAGCCUCUUUGUAUCACCUUGCCUUAAAAGUAUGAGUGGAUGAGUGCCAGCCAUAGAUUUUUGUUAAGGCAAACCCAUAAAAAUCUUGUGCUUUUGUCAUCUGCUACCAAACAAACACACACAUACAUAAUUCUUUAUGUAUUCCUUUCUGGCCUCAAAUCAGGUAAGAUUACCCGCUGAACUUAA
rnacentral:misc_RNA from 1 species